CUACGGGGCGCUCCAGUGGGGAAUAUUGGACAAUGGACCAAAAGUCUGAUCCAGCAAUUCUGUGUGUUUGAUGAAGGCCUUCGGGUUGUAAAGAACUUUAAGUAGGGAAGAAGAAAGUGACGGUACCUACAGAAUAAGCGACGGCUAAAUACGUGCCAGCAGCCGCGGUAAUACGUAUGUCGCAAGCGUUAUCCGGAAUUAUUGGGCAUAAAGCGCGUCUAGGCGGUUUACUAAGUCUGAUGUGAAAAUGCGGGGCUCAACUCCGUAUUGCGUUGGAAACUGGUAGACUAGAGUAUUGGAGAGGUAGGCGGAACUACAAGUGUAGAGGUGAAAUUCGUAGAUAUUUGUAGGAAUGCCAAUGACGAAGGUAGCUUACUGGACAAAUACUGACGCUGAAGCGCGAAAGCUAGGGGAGCAAACAGGAUUAGAUACCCGCGUAGUC
rnacentral:rRNA from 1 species